rnacentral:rRNA from 1 species
AGUGAACGCUGGCGGUAGGCCUAACACAUGCAAGUCGAACGGCAGCACAGUAAGAGCUUGCUCUUACGGGUGGCGAGUGGCGGACGGGUGAGGAAUACAUCGGAAUCUACUUUUUCGUGGGGGAUAACGUAGGGAAACUUACGCUAAUACCGCAUACGACCUACGGGUGAAAGCAGGGGAUCUUCGGACCUUGCGCGAUUGAAUGAGCCGAUGUCGGAUUAGCUAGUUGGCGGGGUAAAGGCCCACCAAGGCGACGAUCCGUAGCUGGUCUGAGAGGAUGAUCAGCCACACUGGAACUGAGACACGGUCCAGACUCCUACGGGAGGCAGCAGUGGGGAAUAUUGGACAGUGGGCGCAAGCCUGAUCCAGCCAUACCGCGUGGGUGAAGAAGGCCUUCGGGUUGUAAAGCCCUUUUGUUGGGAAAGAGAAGCAGCAGGUUAAUACCCCGCUGUUCUGACGGUACCCAAAGAAUAAGCACCGGCUAACUUCGUG